rnacentral:rRNA from 1 species
UACGUAGGGUGCAAGCGUUGUCCGGAAUUAUUGGGCGUAAAGAGCUCGUAGGCGGUCUGUCGCGUCUGCUGUGAAAACUCGGGGCUUAACCCCGGGCCUGCAGUGGGUACGGGCAGACUAGAGUGCGGUAGGGGAGACUGGAAUUCCUGGUGUAGCGGUGGAAUGCGCAGAUAUCAGGAGGAACACCAAUGGCGAAGGCAGAUCUCUGGGCCGUAACUGACGCUGAGGAGCGAAAGCAUGGGGAGCAAACAGG